AACCUCGGAUCAGGCAGGGAUACCCGCUGAACUUAAGCAUAUCAAUAAGCGGA
rnacentral:rRNA from 1 species